UACAGAGGUCUCAAGCGUUGUUCGGAUUCAUUGGGCGUAAAGGGUGCGUAGGUGGCGCGGCAAGUUGGGUGUGAAAUCCCUCGGCUCAACCGAGGAACUGCGCCCAAAACUGCCGUGCUCGAGGAAGAUAGAGGUAAGCGGAACUUACGGUGGAGCGGUGAAAUGCGUUGAUAUCGUAAGGAACACCUGUGGCGAAAGCGGCUUACUGGGUCUUUUCUGACACUGAUGCACGAAAGCUAGGGGAGCAAACGGG
rnacentral:rRNA from 1 species